rnacentral:rRNA from 1 species
UACGUAGGGUGCGAGCGUUAAUCGGAAUUACUGGGCGUAAAGCGUGCGCAGGCGGUUUUGCAAGGCGGAUGUGAAAUCCCCGGGCUCAACCUGGGAAUGGCAUUGGAUACUGGCUCGCUAGAGUGCGGUAGAGGGUGGUGGAAUUCCCGGUGUAGCAGUGAAAUGCGUAGAGAUCGGGAGGAACAUCUGUGGCGAAGGCGGCCACCUGGACCAACACUGACACUGAGGCACGAAAGCGUGGGGAGCAAACAGG